GAUGAACGCUAGCGGCAGGCCUAAUACAUGCAAGCUGAACGGCAAGAUUUGUAGCAAUACGAGUCCUAGAGUAGCGUAAGGGUGCGUAGCACGUAUGCAAUCUGCCCGCAACAGGAGGAUAGCUUAGCGAAAGUUGAGAUAAGACUCCAUAAGAUCACGAGAGGGCAUCUGAUUGUGAUUAAACUACAAGGGGGUUGCGGAUGAGCAUGCGUCUGAUUAGUUAGUUGGCGGGGUAAC
rnacentral:rRNA from 1 species